rnacentral:tRNA from 1 species
GGUGGUGUAGCUCAAUCGGUUAGAGCAGUCGCCUUAUAAGCGACAGGUUGGUGGUUCAAACCCACCCACUACCA